GGUCCAAUAGUGUAGAGGUUAUCACACGGGAUUCUGAGUCUUUAACGUUGCAGGCUUCCCGUGACCCAGGUUCGAGUCCUGGUUGGACCU